rnacentral:rRNA from 1 species
CAACAGGGAUUGCCUCAGUAACGGCGAGUGAAGCGGCAACAGCUCAAAUUUGAAAUCUGGCUCUCGGGCCCGAGUUGUAAUUUGUAGAGGAUGCUUUUGGUGCGGUGCCUUCCGAGUUCCCUGGAACGGGACGCCAUAGAGGGUGAGAGCCCCGUCUGGUUGGACGCCAAUCCUCUGUAAAGCUCCUUCGACGAGUCGAGUAGUUUGGGAAUGCUGCUCUAAAUGGGAGGUAUAUGUCUUCUAAAGCUAAAUACCGGCCAGAGACCGAUAGCGCACAAGUAGAGUGAUCGAAAGAUGAAAAGAACUUUGAAAAGAGAGUUAAAAAGUACGUGAAAUUGUUGAAAGGGAAGCGCUUGUGACCAGACUUGGGCUUGGUUGAUCAUCCAGGGUUCUCCCUGGUGCACUCUUCCGGCCCAGGCCAGCAUCAGUUCGCCCCGGGGGAAAAAGGCUUCGGGAAUGUGGCUCUCUCCGGGGAGUGUUAU